rnacentral:rRNA from 1 species
CCCGGCGGCCGUAGCGCGGUGGUCCCACCUGACCCCAUGCCGAACUCAGAAGUGAAACGCCGUAGCGCCGAUGGUAGUGUGGGGUCUCCCCAUGCGAGAGUAGGGAACUGCCAGGG